AGCAUCUUUAACUCUUUUACCAGGAAACUAUUCCUGGCUUUCAUAACUUUUCAGAAGCAUUCCACAAAUACAAUAACUACCUUAAGAAGCUUUUACCAUAUUAUGUGUUGAGCACUAGUGAAGAAUGCAAAGCAUCAACUUGUUCUUCCACCCUGGAGGCCUACAACAAAGCUCUACUGCAUUCGCUAACAAAACUGAUUACAACUUUUAAUAAGAUUGGCUCUCACAUCGGAGCCCUGGCUUCUGCAAGUUCUGGUUCUGAGGGAAUUCUAUCUGCAAACUACAGUUCUUUGCUUAUGCUUCUUAAUAGUUCUUGUCAAGAACUGCAUGAAUGUGUUAAAGGUACAUCAUC